GCUGGGUGUGGUGGCACAUGCCUGCAAUCCCAGCUACUUGGGAGGCUGGGGAAGGAGGAUCACCAGCUUUGGCAAUUUAAUGAGACCUUGCCUCAA
rnacentral:sRNA from 1 species